UGGGGAAUAUUGCGCAAUGGGCGGAAGCCUGACGCAGCGACGCCGCGUGGGGGAUGAAGGCCUUCGGGUUGUAAACCUCUUUCGCCGGAGACGAAGCCGUGAGGUGACGGUAUCCGGGGAAGAAGCGCCGGCUAACUACGUGCCAGCAGCCGCGGUAAUACGUAGGGCGCGAGCGUUGUCCGGAAUUAUUGGGCGUAAAGAGCUCGUAGGCGGCCGGUUGCGUCUGCUGUGAAAUCCCGGGGCUUAACCCCGGGCGUGCAGUGGAUACGGGCUGGCUGGAGGCAGGCAGGGGAGAAUGGAAUUCCCGGUGUAGCGGUGAAAUGCGCAGAUAUCGGGAGGAACACCGGUGGCGAAGGCGGUUCUCUGGGCCUGUGCUGACGCUGAGGAGCGAAAGCGUGGGGAGCAAAC
rnacentral:rRNA from 1 species